CAGGCUUAACACAUGCAAGUCGAGGGGCAGCAUUUUAGUUUGCUUGCAAACUGAAGAUGGCGACCGGCGCACGGGUGAGUAACACGUAUCCAACCUGCCGAUAACUCCGGGAUAGCCUUUCGAAAGAAAGAUUAAUACCGGAUAGUAUACGAAUAUCGCAUGAUAUUUUUAUUAAAGAAUUUCGGUUAUCGAUGGGGAUGCGUUCCAUUAGUUUGUUGGCGGGGUAACGGCCCACCAAGACUACGAUGGAUAGGGGUUCUGAGAGGAAGGUCCCCCACAUUGGAACUGACACACGGUCCAAACUCCUACGGGAGGCAGCAGUGAGGAAUAUUGGUCAAUGGGCGCGAGCCUGAACCAACCAAGUAGCGUGAAGGAUGAAGGCUCUAUGGGUCGUAAACUUCUUUUAUAUGGGAAUAAAGUUUUCCACGUGUGGAAUUUUGUAUGUACCAUAUGAAUAAGGAUCGGCUAACUCCGUGCCAGCAGCCGCGGUAAUACGGAGGAUCCGAGCGUUAUCCGGAUUUAUUGGGUUUAAAGGGAGCGUAGGUGGAUUGUUAAGUCAGUUGUGAAAGUUUGCGGCUCAACCGUAAAAUUGCAAUUGAAACUGGCAGUCUUGAGUACAGUAGAGGUGGGCGGAAUUCGUGGUGUAGCGGUGAAAUGCUUAGAUAUCACGAAGAACUCCGAUUGCGAAGGCAGCUCACUAGACUGUCACUGACACUGAUGCUCGAAAGUGUGGGUAUCAAACAGGAUUAGAUACCCUGGUAGUCCACACAGUAAACGAUGAAUACUCGCUGUUUGCGAUAUACAGUAAGCGGCCAAGCGAAAGCAUUAAGUAUUCCACCUGGGGAGUACGCCGGCAACGGUGAAACUCAAAGGAAUUGACGGGGGCCCGCACAAGCGGAGGAACAUGUGGUUUAAUUCGAUGAUACGCGAGGAACCUUACCCGGGCUUAAAUUGCAACAGAAUAUAUUGGAAACAGUAUAGCCGUAAGGCUGUUGUGAAGGUGCUGCAUGGUUGUCGUCAGCUCGUGCCGUGAGGUGUCGGCUUAAGUGCCAUAACGAGCGCAACCCUUAUCUUUAGUUACUAACAGGUUAUGCUGAGGACUCUAGAGAGACUGCCGUCGUAAGAUGUGAGGAAGGUGGGGAUGACGUCAAAUCAGCACGGCCCUUACGUCCGGGGCUACACACGUGUUACAAUGGGGGGUACAGAAGGCGGCUACCUGGUGACAGGAUGCUAAUCCCAAAAACCUCUCUCAGUUCGGAUCGAAGUCUGCAACCCGACUUCGUGAAGCUGGAUUCGCUAGUAAUCGCGCAUCAGCCAUGGCGCGGUGAAUACGUUCCCGGGCCUUGUACACACCGCCCGUCAAGCCAUGAAAGCCGGGGGUACCUGAAGUACGUAACCGCAAGGAGCGUCCUAGGGUAAAACUGGUAAUUGGGGCUAAG
rnacentral:rRNA from 1 species